rnacentral:ncRNA from 1 species
AAUGGGUAUGAAAUGUAUAAUAUAUCUUAUUUCUUCCAAACACAUAAAAAAAGUUUGGAAGAAAAAGAAUAUUCUUAUAGUAAUUAAAUUUUGGGUUUUAAAGUUCUUUAUGUUAAUAAUUUAAUAUAUCUUUUAAGAGAAGAUUAUUUUAUUAUUUUUGUAAUCCAAAAAUAGAUUUUAAAUGAAUUUUGGCGAAGCCUGUGCCAGCCGCCGCGGUUAUACAGGCAGGGUAAUAAAAUUUUAUAUUAAAUAAAUAUUAGUAUAGUUUUUUAAUUUGAAAUUAAUUAGGUGAAAUUAUUAGUUUUUGUUAUUAAGUAAUAUUUUAAAAAUUUAUAAAAAAAAGUAGGAUUAGAUACCCUAUUAUUGUGAGAUGAUAAUUUGGGAUUAUCUUUUAUGUGGAAAAAACUAAGUAGAAUGGCGGUAUUUUAAGCUUUUUAGAGGAAUUUAUUCUAUGAUUGAUAUAGCUCAAAUAUCUUACUUAAUUUGGUUAAAACAGUUUGUAUAUCGCUAUCACUUUAUAAUGUUAUUAGGCAAUUGUAAAAGUUAAUUUUAUUAAAAAUGUUAGGUCAAAAUGCAGCUUAAAGUUAAGUUUGAAAUAAAUUACGAUAAUUUUUAUUGGAGAAUUUGAAAAAUGUUUUAGGAUUUAAUAGUAAGCUUUAAUUAUAAUAUUAGGUUGAAUUGAGUUAUGAAAUAUGCACAUAUCGCCCGUCACUCUCGUUUAUGAGAUAAGUCGUAACAAAGUAAAGGUACCGGAAGGUGUUUUU